UAGCUCAGUUGGUAGAGUGCUUGCCUCGCAUGCACAAGGCCCUGGGUUCAAAUCCCAG
rnacentral:tRNA from 1 species